AAAGGGCGGGUCACGCACAGCAGCCUGGAAGGAGCUGGCAUUUGUUGGGAAAGGGCAAAAAGACCAGCCAGAAGGCCACUGAGGACCCGCUCUGGUGUCCAGGGAGCUGAGGGCCCUGGGGGAGGAGGGCAGGAAUGGUCAUUACACCAGUUCUCCCCGCUUCUGUGCCAGGGGCCUCGGAUCCAUGAUGAGGAGGCUGGAAAUGAUUGAGCUACUUUUGGUAUAAAUGCUUCUUUUGAAUAUUUUUCAAUAAAGCUGAAGAAAGAAGGAACCAAUCUAUCUUGAUGACUCCUAAUGCUUGAGAGACUGGGUAGCCACACCUUCCCCCAAGCAGAGGUAAAAGCAAGAGAGAGGUGGAGGAGGGAAGGGCCAGGAUUGCUGAGCUCCUUCUGAAUGCCAGGCGUUUUCAUGUGUGUAAUCAGAUUUAUUCUUCCUGCAACCUUAUGGUAAGCCUGAUUGU
rnacentral:lncRNA from 1 species